rnacentral:rRNA from 1 species
UCGAUUAGAGUUUGAUCCUGGCUCAGGAUGAACGCUAGCGAUAGGCUUAACACAUGCAAGUCGGGGGGUAGCACGUCUUCGGAUGGUGACGACCGGCAUACGGGUGAGUAACGGGUAUGUAACCUGCCCAUAUCAGGGGGAUAGGCUCUUGAAAGAGAGAUUAAUACCGCAUAACACAAAGGGUUCGCAUGAAUUUUUUGUUAAAGAUUUUAUUGGAUAUGGAUGGGCAUGCUUUCCAUUAGAUAGUUGGUAAGGUAACGGCUUACCAAGUCUUCGAUGGAUAGGGGUUCUGAGAGGAAGGUCCCCCACACCGGUACUGAGACAGGGACCGGACUCCUACGGGAGGCAGCAGUGAGGAAUAUUGGUCAAUGGACGGAAGUCUGAACCAGCCAAAUCGCGUGAAGGAUGAAUGUAUUAUGUAUUGUAAACUUCUUUUGAGGGGGAAUAAAACACAUUACGUGUAGUGUCUUGUAGGUACUCUUCGAAUAAGCAUCGGCUAACUCCGUGCCAGCAGCCGCGGUAAUACGGAGGAUGCGAGCGUUAUCCGGAUUUAUUGGGUUUAAAGGGUGCGUAGGUGGGUUAAUAAGUCAGUGGUGAAAUCUCGAUGCUUAACAUUGAAAUUGCCAUUGAAACUGUUAGUCUUGAGUUCAGACGAGGUAGGCGGAAUUCGUAGUGUAGCGGUGAAAUGCUUAGAUAUUACGAAGAACCCCGAUAGCGCAGGCAGCCUGCCAGACUGCGACUGACACUGAAGCACGAAAGUGUGGGUAUCAAACAGGAUUAGAUACCCUGGUAGUCCACACAGUAAACGAUGAUUACUGACUGUUUGCGAUAUAUUGUAAGCGGUUAAGCGAAAGCGUUAAGUAAUCCACCUGGGGAGUACGUUCGCAAGAAUGAAACUCAAAGGAAUUGACGGGGGCCCGCACAAGCGGAGGAACAUGUGGUUUAAUUCGAUGAUACGCGAGGAACCUUACCCGGGCUUGAAAUGCAGACGACGAAGGCUGAAAGGUCUUUUCCAGUAAUGGCGUCUGUGUAGGUGCUGCAUGGUUGUCGUCAGCUCGUGCCGUGAGGUGUCGGCUUAAGUGCCAUAACGAGCGCAACCCUCAUUAUUAGUUACUAACAGGUUAUGCUGAGGACUCUAAUAAGACUGCCGCCGUAAGGUGUGAGGAAGGUGGGGAUGACGUCAAAUCAGCACGGCCCUUACGUCCGGGGCGACACACGUGUUACAAUGGGGGGUACAGAGGGUUGCUACACAGCGAUGUGAUGCUAAUCUCUUAAAGCCCUUCUCAGUUCGGAUCGGAGUCUGCAACUCGACUCCGUGAAGCUGGAUUCGCUAGUAAUCGCGCAUCAGCCAUGGCGCGGUGAAUACGUUCCCGGGCCUUGUACACACCGCCCGUCAAGCCAUGGAAGCCGGGGGGACCUGAAGUACGUGAGCGUUAAGCAGCGUCCUAGGGUAAAACCGGUAACUGGGGCUAAGUCGUAACAAGGUAGCCGUAAAUCGA